GACGAACGCUGGCGGCGUGCUUAACACAUGCAAGUCGAACGAGUGGCGAACGGGUGAGUAAUACGUGUGUAACCUGCCCUCUGUUUGGGGUUAGCCUUGGAAACGGGGGCUAAUACCGCAAUAGGGGGGAUGGGCUCGCGGCCUAUCAGCUUGUUGGUGGGAUGCUGCCCUACCACGGCGGUGCCGGGUAGACGGCCUGAGAGGGUGACCGGGCACAGAGGGACUGCGAUGCGGCCCAGGCUACUACGGGGGGCGGAAGUGGGGGAUAUGGCGCAAAGGGCGAUAGCCUGAUGCAGCGACUCCGCGUGAGGGAUGAAGGCUUUCGAGUUGUAUACCUCUUUCGCUAUCGGACGGGUAGGUGGAGAAGAAGCGCCGGCUAACUACGUGCCAGCAGCCGGGGUAAUUC
rnacentral:rRNA from 1 species